rnacentral:rRNA from 1 species
UACGUAGGGUGCAAGCGUUAAUCGGAAUUACUGGGCGUAAAGCGUGCGCAGGCGGUUUUGUAAGACAGAGGUGAAAUCCCCGGGCUCAACCUGGGAACUGCCUUUGUGACUGCAAGGCUAGAGUACGGCAGAGGGGGGUGGAGUUCCGCGUGUAGCAGUGAAAUGCGUAGAUAUGCGGAGGAACACCGAUGGCGAAGGCAACCCCCUGGGCCUGUACUGACGCUCAUGCACGAAAGCGUGGGGAGCAAACAGG